UUAGUAUUUGUAAUAGAUCGGCUAUUGUGAAAAAUAUGUUUUUUAAAAUUUUUGGAUAUUAUUUGAAGUCAAUUUUUUGUUUGUUUGUUUUGUAAGUUUUUAGCGUUACUGUGAUGAAAAUGCUAAUGAAGAUAUGUUUAUUAACAGAAUACAGCACUCUGGGUUUAUUCUGGAGUUCCAUAUACCAUAUUUGGAUGAUCAAGCAACAAGUAAUUUCUUUCUAAGGGUAUCAAAGGACAGCCUCUGGGAGUUGAUCCCGAAAGUAACAUUGCAAAUGAUGACCUUCUUUUUGUUCCUGCCAUGGAAAUAUAAUACUAGUGGAUUUGCUUUUGGGAGGAAAAAAAUUAUUUGAGAAGAAGGUUACUUACAUGACCAGAAAAUGACUGAGGGAACUCCGUUUUAAAAGAACUGGAUGCCUAAGCCUGAAUUAAUGAACUAGGAACUGCUGUUGAAACAAUGCAAGGAAUUUCUGAAGGAAAGACAGAGAGGACCUUGGUAAAAGAAUAAGAUAUCCCUUUGUCUCUGUAAGGGUCAAAAUAUUGUGUUGACUGUGUGCCUUCCAAGCAAUAGAAGGUCACAUGCAGCGAGAGGAGAAGAAGCAACUGAGAAUAUCAUCUUUGAAGCAGCAGCAGAAGGAACAGAUGGCUUUAAUUUGAUUUUUUUGGGAUCAUUUUAGUUAGCCAAGGGUAUAAAAAUUACACAGAAGACAGGGUAGGUGGCGUUUUCUGUUAUUUUAAAAAUGACAGAAACUACUAGUAGUGAUAGAAGAGAACGUAGACACCCUUUGAGAGAGCAUGAUCUUCUUUGAACACAAGAUUUCACCUUUGUUGCUAAAGAUCAGAAACUGAAAUGGACAAUGCAAUCUAUUAAUAAUAAGAAUAUCGCAAAGAAGAAGUUGAAACUAGUGUAAUAGGGAAACAUAACACCUUCUUAGUCCAGCGUAGCUAGAAAACAAAACCAAGCUACUGAAAAAAAAAUCAUAAAAUUGCAUCUGUCAAAGCAUGAAAUUUAAAGCUAAUACAGGUUUUAAAAGGUCUUAAAUUAUUCCAUCAGGACUGUUAAUUUAGUUGAACUGAGAUGAAAAAGAGUAGUUGAAUGUUUUGGAGGAGAGUGUUACUUUCCUGUGCAUGUGACAUGAGAGAGAGAUCCGUAUGUGGGCAACAAGAUUGCAAUGAGCUAUAAAACCAGUGUCUGUAUCAGGUCAGCAUGUUUUAGUAUCUCAUAGAAUAACAAAAGUCAGUUUUCCAGAUGCACGUUUUAAAGAUAUGUUUCCCUGCAAAAUCAUCUGUCAGCUCAGAAGCAGAACUAUUAUUUAUUGAAAAAUGUUCUGUCAAUAAUUGAUGUUCCUAUCCUUUACCUACGGUUGGAAAGUUCACACUGGUGCAAGAGAGUUGUUUAUUUCUUUAACUAGCUUUAAAUGCAUUGAAUAAAUUUUGUCUUAUUUUACAUGCACAGAUAAAGGGUUCAUGGAUUCUGUGGUUUUGUUGUGAGUGAGCAGCUACUAAUUUUUGUGGUCAUGGAGGUGUUUCAGCAGACUUGCGAAUUACUACUUCAACAAAGGCUGUUUGUUUUGG